AACCACUGACAAUCCGAGACGCC
rnacentral:siRNA from 1 species